rnacentral:rRNA from 1 species
AUACGGAGGGUGCAAGCGUUAUUCGGAUUUAUUGGGUUUAAAGGGUGUGUAGGCGGUCUUGUAAGUCAGUGGUGAAAUCGGGAGGCUCAACUUCGCGAUUGCCAUUGAUACUGUUAGGCUAGAGUAUAGUCGGCUUGAGAGGAAUGCGACAAGUAGCGGUGAAAUGCUUAGAUAUGUCGCAGAACACCGAUAGCGAAGGCAUCUCAAGAGGUUAUACUGACGCUGAGGCACGAAAGCGUGGGGAUCAAACAGGAUUAGAUACCCUGGUAGUCCACGCCGUAAACGAUGAUGACUAGGUCUUGAAGAGCAAUUUUCAGGGCCUGAGCGAAAGCGUUAAGUCAUCCACCUGGGGAGUACGUUCGCAAGUAUGAA